rnacentral:rRNA from 1 species
UACAGAGGGGGCAAGCGUUGUUCGGAAUUACUGAGCGUAAAGGGCGCGUAGGCGGCCGCCUAAGUCAGACGUGAAAUCCCUCGGCUCAACCGGGGAACUGCGUCUGAUACUGGGUGGCUUGAAUUCGGGAGAGGGAUGCGGAAUUCCAGGUGUAGCGGUGAAAUGCGCAGAUAUCAGGAAGAACACCCGUGGCGAAGGCGGCUCUCUGGGACGGUACUGACGCUGAGACGCGAAAGCGUGGGGAGCGAACAGG